UAAUACGGAGGGUGCAAGCGUUGUCCGGAUUUACUGGGUGUAAAGGGCGUGUAGGCGGGAGAAUAUGUCGGAAGUGAAAUCGUACGGCUUAACCGUAGCAAUGGCUUCCGAAACUGUUCUUCUUGAAUGCAGGAGAGGCAGAUGGAAUUCCUGGUGUAGCGGUGGAAUGCGUAGAUAUCAGGAAGAACACCGGUGGCGAAGGCGGUCUGCUGGCCUGUGAUUGACGCUGAGGCGCGAAAGUGUGGGGAGCAAACAGGAUUAGAUACCCUGGUAGUCCACACCGUAAACGAUGGUCACUAGUUGUCGGAGGAUUCGACCCCUUCGGUAACGACGCUAACGCAUUAAGUGACCCACCUGGGGAGUACGCUCGCAAGGGUGAAACUUAAAUGAAUUGACGG
rnacentral:rRNA from 1 species